rnacentral:sRNA from 1 species
AACUGAGGAUGGAAAGAAAU